rnacentral:rRNA from 1 species
AGCCAGCAGCCGCGGUAAAACGUAGGAGGCGAGCGUUAUCCGGAUUUACUGGGCGUAAAGCGCGUGCAGGUGGUUUGAUAAGUCGUGCGUGAAAGCUCCGCGCUUAACGCGGAGAGGCCGUGCGAGACUGUCAGACUAGAGUCAGAUAGAGGCAAGUGGAAUUCCGGGUGUAGUGGUGAAAUGCGUAGAGAUCCGGAGGAAUACCAGUGGCGAAGGCGGCUUGCUGGGUCUAGACUGACACUCAGACGCGAAAGCAUGGGGAGCGAACGGGAUUAGAAACCCCGGUAGUCCAUGCCGUAAACGAUGCAGACUAAGCGGUAGGGUCGCAAGACCUUAGUGCUGAAGCUAACGCGAUAAGUCUGCCGCCUGGGGAGUACGACCGCAAGGUUAAAACUUAAAGGAAUUGGCGGGGGAU